AAACAGUGACAGCCACAUUGCAACAUAGCAUAUAAUAUACAAUGUAUACACUAUAGUUGUUGUUGUAGUUAUACAGGCCGGUCUGUUCCAGUUCAUGCAUUGCUUAGUGACAUGCAACACUUCAUACUUUGGCUUAUUUUGGGACUAUCUUCAUUGGUGGAACAGGCCAAGAUUUUGAUCACAAGUUUAUUAUUAAAAGCAACUUCACAUUCACACAAUAUCAGCAUCAGUCAUUUACAAAACAAAAACUGUCCUUCUGUACAUUUGGAACUAACUUGUUCUUGAGUAAACACCUUGUGUGCCUUGUUGUUUACUUCGAGUCCAUAGCAUUCUGUCCAUCAACUUGAGACUUCUAGAUCUAAGGUGGUGGGCUGCUUAUAAUGAUUCCUCUCACAGUCGCAUCCGCUCGUCACCAGACUUCUGAUGGCAUCAUUAUGUGGCCAGCGUUACGCGUCGCUCUCAUUCGCGUCAUGAUUGAUUGAUCUUGGUUUUGGUUACCCCUCCGCGCUCUGUUCCGUUUGCAGUACAAGUGCGAAUCAGCAUAAUUGCACUAAUUACGGCCAAUUUCUCCGUGAAUGGAGCCGCUGUCAAAUCCGACAGCAGACGAGGGACAAGAAUAUCUCACGGUCCUUAUAAACGAGAUGAAAGGGGACGAAAACACCCCGUGAACAAGCCAUUGAGUGCGAGAGCAGGAUUGCAAUUUAAAGCACCGAGGGAGGAGGAGAAAAGAAGGGAACAUGCGGAGAUUUUAGAGCGGAAUCAAGUACCCAGCUCACGGAGGUAGCGGGCAACCCCAUUCAGCGCGUCGCAUCUCUACCGGGGGCGCAAAUUCCGCUUGACAGCCAUUACCCCGAGAGCCCGAGUCGCCCCCCUUCAAGUGUCUUCCUCUGACAACGGUUACCAGCGUGCAUUCCUUCUGCUGCAAUUAGGCCUUUAUUUAUCACCUCUUCAGAGCUGAGUAAACAAACGUAAUGUGCGGAAAUCACUGGAUAAUUAUUAUCCCAGGGUGCGCAUUAUGGGGGUUUGGGGGGUCUGACCCCCCUAAUUAAGGCUUGAACCCACAAAGCCAGUCAAAAUAAAAGAAUGGGGGGUCUAAGAAGACCGAAUAAUAUAUUGCUAUUUGUUUAUUUAUUUUUUUCUGCUGCAUUUUAAAAUAACAUUUAAGUAAAACACAAAGUUAAUCAAGUUAAGGUGGGAAUACACAAUACAACUUUUUACAAAUUUCGCAGAAAGUCGCGUAGAGACUGAUGGGCACCAACUCAGAUUUUUUUUAGCUUCAAUCCAGUCGGAGACAUCAAGCAUGCUUGAUAUUUUGGGACUAUUUUAGACACAUAAGGUGCGUCCCCAUUUGCGUACUUAUACACUAUUCUAUGUUAUUUU